rnacentral:sRNA from 1 species
UUUUAAAAAUACCCAGCUGCUCUGUUUUGCUGUUUUAAAAUCUUUUUCAGUAUGUUAGUGUAUAAAUAUUUUAAUAUGGAAUUGCAUUUUCCUUAAUUAAAUCUCCAAAGUGUGCUUGUGUUGUGAGGUGCCUUAAGAAAUGAGGGGGUUUUUUUUAAUAUUGUAUAAAUGUUGGAAUUCUUGUUUAUGCCAAGGUGGACAACAACACAGCAUUGGUUGACAAAUUGAAGCGAUUCCAGCAGGAGAAUGAAGAAUUAAAAGCUCGGAUGGACAAGCACAUGGCAAUUUCAAGGCAACUUUCCACGGAGCAGGCUGUUCUGCAAGAGUCGCUGGAGAAGGAGUCGAAAGUCAACAAGAGACUCUCUAUGGAAAACGAGGAGCUUCUGUGGAAACUGCACAAUGGGGACCUGUGUAGCCCCAAGAGAUCCCCCACGUCCUCCGCCAUCCCUUUGCAGUCACCAAGGAAUUCGGGCUCCUGCCCCAGCCCCAGCAUUUCACCCAGAUGACACCUCCCCAAAGUCCACAGACUCUCUGAAAGCAUUUUGAUGCAGGUCUGCAGGACU